AGCGAACGCUGGCGGCAGGCUUAACACAUGCAAGUCGAACGCCCCGCAAGGGGAGUGGCAGACGGGUGAGUAACACGUGGGGAUCUGCCCAAUGGUACGGAAUAACUCAGGGAAACUUGUGCUAAUACCGUAUGUGCCCGCAAGGGGAAAGAUUUAUCGCCAUUGGAUGAACCCGCGUCGGAUUAGCUAGUUGGUGUGGUAAAGGCGCACCAAGGCGACGAUCCGUAGCUGGUCUGAGAGGAUGAUCAGCCACACUGGGACUGAGACACGGCCCAGACUCCUACGGGAGGCAGCAGUGGGGAAUAUUGGACAAUGGGCGCAAGCCUGACCCAGCCAUGCCGCGUGAGUGAUGAAGGCCUUAGGGUUGUAAAGCUCUUUCGCCGACGAAGAUAAUGACGGUAGUCGGAGAAGAAGCCCCGGCUAACUUCGUGCCAGCAGCCGCGGUAAAAC
rnacentral:rRNA from 1 species